UUCGCCCCAUCGAGUUCGCUUUUUCGAGGAUGGGGUACGGGAUCUGGAGUGAUUGCUAUUCGGAGUUGACAUUUCUGUAUCCUUAAAAAAUACAGAACUGGAAAGCAGAGGAGAUAUGGGCAUCUCAUUCGAAGGCUUAGUAGAUGGAUUGUCCGUAUUACUACUGUCCUCUGCAGAUGACUCAAUUACAUCAGAGUUCUCAACAGCUUUCAAAGAUCCUGAUGGUGCGAGAACAUUACCAUUUGCACCUGUUAUAGAACUGUAAAACGGUACACCCGGACCUACCAUUGCAGGCGAAGCAGCUCUAGAAACAAAGGAUGAUGAUUUUUUAGGCUCGAAAAACAUCUUGGAAAAUUCCGAUUCACUACGGAUUUCCAACUCCAGAGGAGAUGAUUCUUCAUACAAGGCACUGGCUACGCGUUGGAACAUUUUCGGUUUGGGAAGCAAAGACUUUCUUCGUAACACAGGACACAAAGAUUUCGAAAUUCUUCCAGAAUGAGAGGGACUACAAAGGUCCUUUAAAUUUUUUACUUCAAUAUGUUUAUUUGGAGUCUUAGAAAACGAACGCUGAUCCAAAUUUUCAUUGUAACUCAACUGCCUAGUUCCUCUAGCCAUGGCAGCGGACGGCAAGUCUGUUGUAGAGUCUGAUAUGUACUCGGUAUCAUCAUCUUCCAUAUCGGUCAGUUCUGAAUCAAGUGGAAACAUAGAUUCAUCAGUUUCGUCGCUCAUUGAGUAAUUUACAUAUCUUAAUCCGAUUGACGGUGAAGCUUCAGGAGAAGGGGCUGUAAAAGUUUGAUGCAAGCUUGAGCACCUAAUACUUUUCUCUCUGUUUCUUACAAAAAAGUUCAGACUUGAAUUUGAUGUUGCUGUGGUCGGUUUUCCAGGUGUUGGAUGAAAUGAAUCCAUUUCGAC